CUGAAAUUGAUAACGUGGAUUGGCUCCUAACCCAAAGUAACUUCCGGGUUCGGGACAAGAGUCCAUGACUGGCUACAUGCUGCUGCCUCUAGCCUCCUACAAUCAUUUCUUGGCCUCCCUGUGAUCUGCGGAAAACUCGACUGCGGCGAGCUCUUAAUACGACCUCUGGUUGAGCUACGCCGCCACUACCCCAUAUCAUCGUCUCUAAAUUCAAAACCCACAUGUCUCAUUUGCUGAUACCUCUGCAAUCACUGAGAGCUUAUCUCUUCCCUCCAGUUGCCACAGAAACCCCACACGCGGUGGUUUCUCUAAUCAAUGACCCUCUGUGUAAGAGCUUCAAAAGCUUUAGCUAUAUCUUACCCUUUCACUUUCAAGGUACGUCUUCUCUUUCUCUUCUCUACCUUUCUCCAUAACUGCCCCUCUGUUGCUUCCAAAGACACUGAAUCAUUCUCUGAAACUCAUUUUUAAAGACCUUAUCCUUAAUACCACUCGAGAUAAGCCUGGGGCGUUUUGCAAUCAAAAUUGAGUGUAUGAUCAGUUUAACCCGGUAAUUAUUGACCCAGAGCUGCUUAUUCGUGUACUGAAUGUGAUUCGGGAAAAACCCAGAAUUGCUUUGCGGUUUUUUAGAUGGGUUCAGACCCAACCAGGAUUCAAGAGCUCCGAGUUUGCUUUUUCCGUGAUGCUUGAGAUUUGGUGGACAACAGUUGGAUGAAAUCGGCUUAUAGGCUGAUGGAGAGAGUCAUUAGUAUAGAAAUGCACGGCAUUGUGGAUGUUUUGAUUGGUGGAUACGUGAAACUUGAGGUCUCGAUAUAGUUGUUGAUUUACACGAAGAAAUUGAUGAUUGAGUAGUGUUUACUGCUUUGAUAGGAUGGUGAGAAGUAGAUUGUUGCCAGAUGAGAGAAUUUGUAAUCGGAUGCUCAAGGUACUUAGGGAUAAAAAUCUUUUUGUUAAAGCUAGGGAAGUUCACAGAAUGAUGUGUGAGUUUGGCAUGAAGCCGACUAUUAUUACAUACAAUACGAUGUUAGAUUCCUCCUUUAAGGAAGGAGAAGUGCAGCAAGCAGUAGACCUUUUAUCUCAGAUGCAAAAGGGAGGGUGUUAUCCAAAUGAUGUAACAUAUAAUGUCUUGAUAAAUGGGUUGUCAAAGAAAGGUGAAUUACAGCAGGCUAAGGGAUUGCUUGGAGAGAUGUGGAAAGCGGGAUUGAGAGUUUCAGCAUACACUUAUAACCCUUUGAUUUGUGGCUAUUGCAAAAAAGGGUUCAUCGUGGAGGCAUUAGCUCUUGUGGCAGAAAUGUCAUCUAGAGGAGUAUCUCCUACAGUGACAACUCAUAACAUCAUUAUAUAUGGCCUUUGCAAGGAGGGAAAAAUGAGUGAUGCUAGACAAUGGUUGUCAGAUAUGUUAAAGGAGAAUAUGAUGCCAGAUAUAGUUUCAUACAAUACUUUAAUUUAUGGGUAUUGUAGGUUGGGGAACAUAGAUGAGGCUUAUCUCCUGUUUGAUGAGUUAAGAUCCAAGAAUCUUAGUCCUACUGUUGUCACGUAUAAUACUCUCAUAGAUGGAGUUUGCAGAUUGGGGGACUUGGAGACUGCACGAAAGCUCAAAGUAGAUAUGAUCAAUCGUGAGAUUCUUCCUGAUGUUUUUACUUAUACGAUUCUGGUAAAUGGUUCUUACAUGAUGGGCAAUAUGUUGAUGGCUAAGGAAUUUUUUGAUGAAAUGUUGCAUUUGGGUUUGGCACCAGACCGUGUUGUAUAUACAACUCGAAUUGUGGGUGAAUUGAAGCUUGGUCAUACAGCCAGUGCAUUUAAAUUGCAAGAAGAAAUGCUAGCAAAAGGUUUUCCUCCUGAUGUUAUCACCUAUAAUGUCUUUGUGCGCGGGUUUUGUAAAUUGGGCAAUUUGGAAGAAGCACUUAUAUUGUUUCAAAAGAUGAUCAGCAAUGGUCAUGUUCCUGAUCAUGUAACAUACACUAGCAUGAUACAUGCUUACUUGAAGAAUGGGCAUCUCAGGAAAGGCAGAGAGGUAUUCUAUGAGAUGCUGAGCAAAGGCCAAACACCUACAGUAGUCACAUACACUGUAUUGAUUCAUGCACAUGCGCUAAAUGGGAGGAUAGACCUGGCAUUUAUGUAUUUUUCAGAAAUGCAGGAGAAAGGUGUCAUGCCAAAUGUUAUUACCUAUAAUGCCAUGAUAAAUGGUUUUUGCAAAGUGAGGAGAAUGGAUCAAGCUUACAAGUUUUUCUCAGAGAUGGAAGAAAAAGGAAUUUUUCCUAAUAAGUAUACCUACACUAUAUUAAUAAACGAGAACUGCAAUAUUGGAAAUUGGCAGGAGGCCUUGAGAUUAUAUAAGCAAAUGCUAGAUCAAAAUAUCUGGCCAGGUUUUUGUACACAUGGUGCAUUGUUGAAGCAACUAGAUAAAGACUAUAAAGUGCAAGCAGCUCAGUACAUUGACAGCUUAAUUCAAGGUAGUGAUAGAACUGUUGAUGCAAACACUUGAAUCCACCUUUGUCAGAGGUCUAUGACUGUGUUUCUUGGGUGGUUGGUGAGAAGGCAGCUUUUGCUAAAUGUUUAUACGCCACUCAAUACAUUCACUUAUAUGAUUCGUUAAGUAAGAAUUUCUUCCUUCCAGUUCAUUUUACAUAUGAUGCAUUCAUGCAUAAUUUGUAUUUCUAAUAACCUCGUUAUUGACUUUCCUGUUACAGAUGGAGUAGAGUUGUUGAUACAUCAGUAUAGUGAUUCAAGGGAUAAAUGUCAGUAGCCAUCCCACUAUAAGAGUUGUAACAAAGUCGUCCCUAAACUUAAAAAUGUAAUAUAAAACUCUUUGAACUUUGAAAUUUUACACAGUAAAAUCCUUUUAACUCUCAAUAAUUGAUUUAUAAGUGACAUGUUAAUGUGGACAAUCCAAAGUGGCGAUAACGUGGAUGAUGCCUUCGGUUUUUUUAAAGCAGAAUCUUUCUAAUGAACUGUUAUAUAUCUAGUGUUUUAUUAUCUCAUACGGUUGAGAUUCUUUUUAUGAUUAAUUUAUAAUGAAAAUCAUAGCCGGUUUUGUCACUAUCACAUAAAGGAGAGAGAAUUAUUCGCGUCACUGUUAUUCUGGAUUGCAU
rnacentral:misc_RNA from 1 species